rnacentral:rRNA from 1 species
UGAGGAAUAUUGGUCAAUGGGCGGGAGCCUGAACCAGCCAAGCCGCGUGAGGGAAGAAAGGUACAGCGUAUCGUAAACCUCUUUUGUCAGGGAACAAAGGCGGGACUAGUCCCCGGAUGAGGGUACCUGAAGAAAAAGCAUCGGCUAACUCCGUGCC